AAAGAACCCCGGCGAGGGGAGUGAAAAAGAACCUGAAACCGUGUACGUACAAGCAGUGGGAGCACCCUUUGGGGUGUGACUGCGUACCUUUUGUAUAAUGGGUCAGCGACUUAUAUUCUGUAGCAAGGUUAACCGAAUAGGGGAGCCGGAGGGAAACCGAGUCUUAAUUGGGCGUUAAGUUGCAGGGUAUAGACCCGAAACCCGGUGAUCUAGCCAUGGGCAGGUUGAAGGUUGGGUAACACUAACUGGAGGACCGAACCGACUAAUGUUGAAAAAUUAGCGGAUGACCUGUGGCUGGGGGUGAAAGGCCAAUCAAACCGGGAGAUAGCUGGUUCUCCCCGAAAGCUAUUUAGGUAGCGCCUCGUGAAUUCAUCUCCGGGGGUAGAGCACUGUUUCGGCUAGGGGGCCAUCCCGGCUUACCAACCCGAUGCAAACUGCGAAUACCGGAGAAUGUUAUCACGGGAGACACACGGCGGGUGCUAACGUCCGUCGUGAAGAGGGAAACAACCCAGACCGCCAGCUAAGGUCCCAAAGUCAUGGUUAAGUGGGAAACGAUGUGGGAAGGCCCAGACAGCCAGGAUGUUGGCUUAGAAGCAGCCAUCAUUUAAAGAAAGCGUAAUAGCUCACUGGUCGAGUCGGCCUGCGCGGAAGAUGUAACGGGGCUAAACCAUGCACCGAAGCUGCGGCAGCGACGCUGAUGCGUUGUUGGGUAGGGGAGCGUUCUGUAAGCCUGCGAAGGUGGCCUGUGAGGGUUGCUGGAGGUAUCAGAAGUGCGAAUGCUGACAUAAGUAACGAUAAAGCGGGUGAAAAGCCCGCUCGCCGGAAGACCAAGGGUUCCUGUCCAACGUUAAUCGGGGCAGGGUGAGUCGACCCCUAAGGCGAGGCCGAAAGGCGUAGUCGAUGGGAAACGGGUUAAUAUUCCCGUACUUGGUGUUACUGCGAAGGGGGGACGGAGAAGGCUAUGUUGGCCGGGCGACGGUUGUCCCGGUUUAAGCGUGUAGGUGUGUGUUCCAGGUAAAUCCGGUUCACUUUAACACUGAGGCGUGAUGACGAGGCACUACGGUGCUGAAGCAACAAAUGCCCUGCUUCCAGGAAAAGCCUCUAAGCAUCAGGUAACAUCAAAUCGUACCCCAAACCGACACAGGUGGUCAGGUAGAGAAUACCAAGGCGCUUGAGAGAACUCGGGUGAAGGAACUAGGCAAAAUGGUGCCGUAACUUCGGGAGAAGGCACGCUGACACGUAGGUGAAGUGAUUUACUCAUGGAGCUGAAGUCAGUCGAAGAUACCAGCUGGCUGCAACUGUUUAUUAAAAACACAGCACUGUGCAAACACGAAAGUGGACGUAUACGGUGUGACGCCUGCCCGGUGCCGGAAGGUUAAUUGAUGGGGUCAGCGCAAGCGAAGCUCCUGAUCGAAGCCCCGGUAAACGGCGGCCGUAACUAUAACGGUCCUAAGGUAGCGAAAUUCCUUGUCGGGUAAGUUCCGACCUGCACGAAUGGCGUAAUGAUGGCCAGGCUGUCUCCACCCGAGACUCAGUGAAAUUGAACUCGCUGUGAAGAUGCAGUGUACCCGCGGCAAGACGGAAAGACCCCGUGAACCUUUACUAUAGCUUGACACUGAACAUUGAGCCUUGAUGUGUAGGAUAGGUGGGAGGCUUUGAAGUGUGGACGCCAGUCUGCAUGGAGCCGGCCUUGAAAUACCACCCUUUAAUGUUUGAUGUUCUAACGUGGACCCGUGAUCCGGGUUGCGGACAGUGUCUGGUGGGUAGUUUGACUGGGGCGGUCUCCUCCUAAAGAGUAACGGAGGAGCACGAAGGUUGGCUAAUCCUGGUCGGACAUCAGGAGGUUAGUGCAAUGGCAUAAGCCAGCUUGACUGCGAGCGUGACGGCGCGAGCAGGUGCGAAAGCAGGUCAUAGUGAUCCGGUGGUUCUGAAUGGAAGGGCCAUCGCUCAACGGAUAAAAGGUACUCCGGGGAUAACAGGCUGAUACCGCCCAAGAGUUCAUAUCGACGGCGGUGUUUGGCACCUCGAUGUCGGCUCAUCACAUCCUGGGGCUGAAGUAGGUCCCAAGGGUAUGGCUGUUCGCCAUUUAAAGUGGUACGCGAGCUGGGUUUAGAACGUCGUGAGACAGUUCGGUCCCUAUCUGCCGUGGGCGCUGGAGAACUGAGGGGGGCUGCUCCUAGUACGAGAGGACCGGAGUGGACGCAUCACUGGUGUUCGGGUUGUCAUGCCAAUGGCACUGCCCGGUAGCUAAAUGCGGAAGAGAUAAGUGCUGAAAGCAUCUAAGCACGAAACUUGCCCCGAGAUGAGUUCUCCCUGAGACUUAGAGUCUCCUGAAGGAACGUUGAAGACGACGACGUUGAUAGGCCGGGUGUGUAAGCGCAGCGAUGCGUUGAGCUAACCGGUACUAAUGAACCGUGAGGCUUAACCUUACA
rnacentral:rRNA from 1 species